AGAAAUAAAUCCAAGCCCCUAUUGAACUCUUUUAGUAAGUUCACCAUCACCACCUCCUCAGGCAGAGAGUUCCAUAGUCUCACUGCUCUUACCGUAAAGAAUCCUCUUCUAUGUUUGGCUAUAUGGGAGAUGUGUGAA